rnacentral:sRNA from 4 species
AUAUCUCUCUGUACGGGAAGGAUGAGAAGCUUCGACUAAGGUUCGAUUCGAGCGUCAGCGAGAAAGCGUUGCCGCAGGCAACGA